GUUCUGACUUCUGGGCAUUAACGGCUUCUGGAGGCCAGCCACUCGGUCCACUUAGAGGGAUAACAAACGUCCAUUAACUGUCAAUAAAGAGGAAAGAGAAAAGAACAGAAAAGGGAGGAUGACCAGUGUAAGACACAUUCUGAAGGAGCGACUGAGAGGAGUCUUGUGGACCUCUGAUUUCUUCUCUAUAAAUGUAAGAUCUCUAAGGCUGCAUGCAGUUAAAUAUGCACCCCAUCCCGUUACAUAUGCAGAACUAUUGCCAUUGGGAGCGAUGAAAACGAUUUCCGCUGUGAUUAAGUUCUAUGUUGGGCAUGAUGUCCAGCAGACAAUCCUGACCUUCCUCUGGGAAACCUCUGUUCUUGCAUUCUCGGUCCACGUUGUUAGCGGCGAGGAAAAGGCACGCACAGCCAUGGGCCGUGACUGGCCUAGCAAAUCAGAGCAUGGCUUCCUGGCUGACCCUGUGAUGGCUUCAGGACUCUAUUGGCCCUGAGCUAACAUCUGUUGCUUGAGGAAGAUGUUGCGGAGCUAACGUCUGUGCCAAUCUUCCUCUAAUUUAUAUGUGGGACACCUGCCACAGUGUGGCUUGACAGCAGUGUUAGGUCCAUGCCCGGGAUCCAAACCUACGAACCCCAGGCUGCCGAAGUGGAGUGUGCAAACUUAACCACUAUGCCACCAGGCCAGCCCCAUAUUAACUUUUUUUUACGCCAUAUGUGUCUUUGUGACUAGCCCUAACUUAACUGUUAUAAUUCUAGAAACUACAAAAACAAUAAAUCGCUAUUUUCAUCCAGAA
rnacentral:lncRNA from 1 species